GUGUUGUUGGAUUCAUCUUGUUGUAUAUUUUUGUGAUAUCUAGUUUUAUAGUUGUCUGAUUUACUAGAAUUUCUUCUUAUUCAGGUUAAUAAAUUACCGUUCAGCCCACACAAAACAUUUCAUACAGUUUUGAAACUAUACAUCUCCAGUGUGGAUGAUGAUGGCAGUAUAGUGUCGGCUCUCCCGUGCCUUCUUAAAUCCUUUCCGCUUUUGGAAAAGCUUGAGAUGAGGUUCCCAAAUUCUCCUGUCCGUCAGAGCUGUGAACUUCCGAUUCCAUAUGUCCACAAGAAUCUAAAGGAGGUUAAGCCAGCUAAUUUCAAAUUAGAGUGGAUACCAGUUGCUAUCUACUUGUUGCAAAGUGUUUUCAUGUUAGAUUGUAUGAUGAUUACCAAAUCUUCAAAAGUUUAUUAUGGCUAGGAAUCUUGGAAUUGGAAUAUCGCUAGGGGAGAGUUCAAUCUUAAAAAACGUAUAUUAAUUUUGAAUUCGUUGAUUGGAAAGGCAUCAUCAACUAGUGCCAGAGUUACCGUUGAAUAAUCUUAUUCCUGGUAAAGUGAGAGUUACCUUUAAAUAAUCUUAUUUUUGGUCAGAAAUUAAUAUGAUGCUCUUCAAUCUAAAUUGUUGCCCUUGCAGCUUUAAUAUGAUUUUAGUGAGUAUUAUAGGUGAAUUGAUUUUUGUGAUAGUCAUGAUGGAAUUCGAAUUUUGUUUGCUUGGAUUUAAUUUUUUUUUUUCCCUUGAUUCAUGUUGCUGUUUAAAUCAGGAUAAUGGAAUUGAUUGUUUAUUUUGCAACUUUAUCAUGACGGAUCGAUAUUUGAUUUUUACGAAUUGUUCCCUUCUUUUAUUAAUUGAUGCAUUUCAAUGGAUUAGGAAAGAAUUUUAAUUUCGUAAUUAAAUUUAUUUUGUUCUUGAUGAACAUGGUGUUUCUGAAUCGCAUAAUUUGGUUUCUUAAGUAUAUGUAUGAACUGAAAGGAGUAUAAUGAAUUAAUGACUAUACUUGUUAAUGAUAAUGUAAAAGAGCCACCAAGUCUGCUACACUGCUGUGAUAUGGUAAUAGACUCGGGAAUUGCAGCUAACUUUGUUACUAUUCCAUGGAUUGUUAGCUGAAAUAGGGGGGUAGUUGACUCAUUACUAUUCAUUAACUACUGGUGUUGUUAAAACAUGGAGUUAGGAACUUUUGAUUAUUGUCAGAACUCAGAAGUAGGGUAAAUGUUCUCCUAAUUUCUACUGCUUUUUUUUUGUUUGUUUUUUUUUUUUUUUUUUUUUAUUAAACACGUAAGAAGUUAUUGUUGAGCUUUUGCAUGGAACCUCUUUGUUCACUUGUGUCUCGCUUUUGCAUGGAACCUCUUUCUUCACUUGUGUCUCGCUUUGAUGUCUUGUUGAUAGGCUUUCGUAUAAUGCAAAGUGAGUCAUGAUUACUAUGUUCGUACUAGUCGAAAUUUGAAUUUGAUUUUUUUGGUUGGUUAUGGGUCAUGUUAGUUUUUGCCCGAGUGUGGCUACUUAUAUGUCGGUUGUUAAGUGUCUUAGCUCGUGUGGGAGGGUUGAUGAUGCUGAGAGGCUGCUUAAUGAGAUGAUUGAGGGUGUUGUUACACCGAGUGCUGUAACCUAUGAUUGUUUCUUUAAGGAGUUGAGAGGAAGAAAGAAUGCCGAAAAGGCUUUGGAUUUGUAUAGGAGGGUGAAGAAAGAAGGUGUGUGUGUUGCGAGCUUGCAUACGUGUAAUAUCCUCGUGCAAAUGUUAGUGAAGUUGGAUUACAUGGAGGUCGUUGAGGAGAUAUGGAAUGAUAUGAAAGAAGCCGGGACUGGACCUGAUUUAGACUCGUAUAUUGUAUUAAUUCAUGGUUUGGUCGAGAAAGAGAAAUAGAGGGAGGCUUGUGAAUAUUUCGUGCAGAUGAUUGAGAAAGGAUUUCUUCCUCAGAAGAUCACCUUUGAGAUGCUUUAGAUACAAGCUGAUAAGUUGAGAACUUAGAGGAGGUUGAAGAAGAAACUCAACGAAGAGUCCAUAUCAUUUGGGUCCGAGUUUGAAGAUUAUCACCUUCAACCCUACAAGAGAUGAGAUUUGGAGAUGAUUUUGAGGUGUGUGAUUCACGUCUUUCAAGUUUGAUAAAGUCUAUAAUAAGGUUAUCAAAAUGUCUGAUCACAAUAUAUAAUGAGUGUUGUCAUGUUGUGUAACCGUUUGGAACUAGAGGUGUCAAUUCGGAUAACCUAUUUAGAUACUGCAAAUGCCUCACCUCUGCCAAUUGUAGGAUCAGUACUUUUAUUCAUGGUUAUCUGUUUUGCUGAAUUAGCACUUAGUUAUUGUUUGUUCGUCUCCAGACAUAGGGAUACAUGCUUUCAUUAGUUUGUGUGUUAAUGGAAGGAGGUUAUCAUCAUAAGCUUACUCUGAUAUGCAAAUUGUGAAGUUCAAUGAUAUAUUGGGCAAAGGUUAAAAAAGGGCAUUAGUAAAUGGCCAAUUGUGUAUCUUCAGCGAUGUGGGUAUGACAGUCAUGAGCCGAUUCAAUGCUACAGUGUGAAGUUUACUAAAAAGUGGCAAUCCAUGAUUAUGAUCACUGGUCAGAACUUGAACUUGGGGUUUUUCGAAGGGAGCUGAGGAUGGAACUUGGUUUCUGGGCAGAGAUCAAGACAAGAAACCCAGCUGAAGCUCAAGUAAUGGCUAUUAGAGGUGGAGUGGUGUUAGCUACUUGACUCGGUGUUGUAGAACAUCAUUAUUAGAAAUGGGUACAAGCUCUCUCGCCUCUCUGAACAGCACUCUGGAGGACGUGUGAAAACGAGGAACAAUGAACUAGCUGCUAUACUUGCUGAUAUAGGGGAAUUCCUCGAGAGAUUGCAACUUUAGGUUCAGCUAUGUGCCUCGAGAAGCAAAUUUCUUGGCUCAUUACCUUGUGAUUAUUCUCUAAGCAUGGAGGAGGAAGUGAGGAUACAUACAGGUGAAGAUAAUUACCAUAAGUCCAUAUAGAGGGCUCUGUAAAUGUUUUGUGCAUUUUCUAAUAGAAUACAAUGUACUACUACGUUCUUAAAUUUUUGCCCUAUGCUAAUAUUUGGGUCAAACUUGUAAAACUUUGAUCAAUAAUUACCCUUGGUCUAUAUAUGUUAUACUCCCUUUGUCCCUUA